AUUGAACGCUGGCGGCAGGCCUAACACAUGCAAGUCGAACGGUACAGGAAGAAGCUUGCUUCUUUGCUGACGAGUGGCGGACGGGUGAGUAAUGUCUGGGAAACUGCCUGAUGGAGGGGGAUAACUACUGGAAACGGUAGCUAAUACCGCAUAACGUCGCAAGACCAGAGAGGGGGACCUUCGGGCCUCUUGCCAUCGGAUGUGCCCAGAUGGGAUUAGCUAGUAGGUGGGGUAACGGCUCACCUAGGCGACGAUCCCUAGCUGGUCUGAGAGGAUGACCAGCCACACUGGAACUGAGACACGGUCCAGACUCCUACGGGAGGCAGCAGUGGGGAAUAUUGCACAAUGGGCGCAAGCCUGAUGCAGCCAUGCCGCGUGUAUGAAGAAGGCCUUCGGGUUGUAAAGUACUUUCAGCGGGGAGGAAGGGAGUAAAGUUAAUACCUUUGCUCAUUGACGUUACCCGCAGAAGAAGCACCGGCUAACUCCGUGCCAGCAGCCGCGGUAAUACGGAGGGUGCAAGCGUUAAUCGGAAUUACUGGGCGUAAAGCGCACGCAGGCGGUUUGUUAAGUCAGAUGUGAAAUCCCCGGGCUCAACCUGGGAACUGCAUCUGAUACUGGCAAGCUUGAGUCUCGUAGAGGGGGGUAGAAUUCCAGGUGUAGCGGUGAAAUGCGUAGAGAUCUGGAGGAAUACCGGUGGCGAAGGCGGCCCCCUGGACGAAGACUGACGCUCAGGUGCGAAAGCGUGGGGAGCAAAC
rnacentral:rRNA from 1 species